rnacentral:rRNA from 1 species
GACGAACGCUGGCGGCGUGCCUAAUACAUGCAAGUUGAGCGCUGAAGGUUGGUACUUGUACCAACUGGAUGAGCAGCGAACGGGUGAGUAACGCGUGGGGAAUCUGCCUUUGAGCGGGGGACAACAUUUGGAAACGAAUGCUAGUACCGCAUAAAAACUUUAAACACAAGUUUUAAGUUUGAAAGAUGCAAUUGCAUCACUCAAAGAUGAUCCCGCGUUGUAUUAGCUAGUUGGUGAGGUAAAGGCUCACCAAGGCGAUGAUACAUAGCCGACCUGAGAGGGUGAUCGGCCAAAUUGGGACUGGGACACGGCCCAAACUCCUACGGGAGGCAGCCGUAGGGAAUCUUCGGAAAUGGACGGAAGUCUGACCGAGCAACGCCGCGUGAGUGAAGAAGGUUUUCAGAUCGUAAAACUCUGUUGGUAGAGAAGAACGUUGGUGAGAGUGGAAAGCUCAUCAAGUGACGGUAACUACCCAGAAAGGGACGGCUAACUACGUG